AGUGAGUGAGUGUGUGAGUGAGGGACUGAGUAUGUGAGUGAGUGAGUGAGUGUGUAAUUAUGGCUAUUGCGUAACAAAUAAUAUCUACGUUACUACUACUACUGGUACUACUACUACUACUACUACUACUACUACUACUACUACUACUACUACUACUACUGAUGCUGUUGCUGAUACUACUAGGACUGGUCUUCAGCAACCAAUGCUUGUCGUAUUAUAGAGUCGUCUAACGAGAUCAGGUAGUCACAUGUCAUCGUAUCCCAACUCCGUUAAUGGGAUUACAUGAAAAUGAGAAUACAGGAAGCGAUAGGCUUUGUAGAAGACCUCUAAGAGACUCACUGCUCCAUAUAUCAUUGCUGGCGACAAUUUAGCACCUAUAAUACCAGACCCUUGGUUGAUAUGACAUGUUGACACAUGUCAUCGUAUCUCAACUGCGUAGAUCGAUGUUCAUGAUGUUGAUCACUGGAUUGUCUGGUUCAGACUCGAUUAUUUACAGACGG